UACGAAGGGGGCUAGCGUUGCUCGGAAUUACUGGGCGUAAAGCGCACGUAGGCGGAUUGUUAAGUCGGGGGUGAAAUCCUGGAGCUCAACUCCAGAACUGCCUUUGAUACUGGGGAGCUAGAGUCCGGGAGAGGUGAGUGGAACUGCGAGUGUAGAGGUGAAAUUCGUAGAUAUUCGCAAGAACACCAGUGGCGAAGGCGGCUCACUGGCCCGGUACCUGACGCUGAGGUGCGAAAGCGUGGGGAGCAAACAGGG
rnacentral:rRNA from 1 species